AACGCACAUUGCGCCUCCUGGUAUUCCGGGAGGCACGCCUGUCCGAGCGCCAUUACACCCCCCAAGCCUUGCUUGAUGUUGGGCCAUGACGCGCUGUCAAGCCCCAAACCUUUAGGCGCCCCCUACUGGCCGCGAGCGUAGCAAGAAUUUUUUUCCCUCGUUCCGCGUGUCCAAUGGGCGGGUCGCCGAUUGACCCCCUAAAUUUUACAAGGUUUGGCCUCGGAUCAGGCGGGGAUACCCGCUGAACUUAA
rnacentral:misc_RNA from 1 species